GCUGGGUGUGGUGGCGUACACCUGUAAUUUCAGCUACUCGAGAGGCUGAGACAGGAGAAUAGCUUGAACCAGGGAGUUGGAGGUUGCAGUGAGCCCAAGUUGUGCCACUGAACUCCAGCCUGGAGACAGAGCAAGACUCUGUCUCAA
rnacentral:SRP_RNA from 2 species